rnacentral:tRNA from 1 species
GGCCCCAUCGUCUAACGGCCAGGACGUCAGGUUUUCAUCCUGGAAAUCGGGGUUCGAUUCCCCGUGGGGUCACCA